rnacentral:rRNA from 3 species
AAAACUUUCAACAACGGAUCUCUUGGUUCUGGCAUCGAUGAAGAACGCAGCGAAAUGCGAUAAGUAAUGCGAAUUGCAGAAUUCCGUGAGUCAUCGAAUCUUUGAACGCACAUUGCGCCCUUUGGUAUUCCGAAGGGCAUGCCUGUCCGAGCGUCAUUA